rnacentral:rRNA from 1 species
AUUGAACGCUGGCGGCAGGCCUAACACAUGCAAGUCGAGCGAGCGGCGGACGGGUGAGUAAUGUAUGGGGACCUGCCCGAUAGCGGGGGAUAACUACUGGAAACGGUGGCUAAUACCGCAUACUAUCGGAUGAACCCAUAUGGGAUUAGCUAGUAGGUGGGGUAAAGGCUCACCAAGGCGACGAUCUCUAGCUGGUCUGAGAGGAUGAUCAGCCACACUGGGACUGAGACACGGCCCAGACUCCUACGGGAGGCAGCAGUGGGGAAUAUUGGACAAUGGGCGAAAGCCUGAUGCAGCCAUGCCGCGUGUAUGAAGAAGGCCUUAGGGUUGUAAAGUACUUUCAGCGGGGAGGCGUUACCUGCAGAAGAAGCACCGGCUAACUCCGUGCCAGCAGCCGCGGUAAUUC